CCGGGGGCGGGGAGAGGGGCGGGGCUUUCCGCCGAAAGGGGGCGGGGCGCGCGGAGGAGGCGGGGCGAGCGCAGGGGAGGCUGGCGAGCAGAGAGUGCCCUUGUGUCGCCAGCCGGCGAGCGGCUGGGAGCGAGCAGCCGCCCCGCGCCGCCAGCGGGACGGGACGGGACAGCACGGCACGGGACAGCACGGCGCGGGGCGGGACAGGCCGGGCCGCAGGGACAGCCGGACCGACCCGCCGGUAGGGGCGAGGGGAGCCAGCGGGGGCAGCCGGCACCGCUCGGUGGAGGGAAGCAGCCCGGCGGCGGCAGAGCCGGCGGGGAGAGCUGCUCCCCCCACUUCCCUCCCCAAUCCACCCCCGCGACCCCGGCCCUCCUCCUCCUCCUCCUCCUCACCCCACUGGAUACAGCGAGGGAGACACUGCGGCGGCGGAGGCGGCGGCGGCGGCUCCUGCGGGGGGAAGGAAGCGCCCGGAGAGCGGAGCGGCGGGAGGCUGCGGAUCUGCGUGCCUGGCGCCCACCCAGCCCGAGGGGAGCCCCCAGGAUGCGGCUCAAGCCCGGCGCGCUCCUGCGCUUCUACAGCCUCUGCGGGAUCCUCAUGCAAGUGUCCAAAGUGCUCUCAUUACCUGGAUUACAGAGUCAUAAAAUCAGAUGAGCAGAAUGCCAAUUAGAAGGAGUUCAUCAGU
rnacentral:lncRNA from 1 species